AGGGUUCGAUUCUGGCUCAGGAUGAACGCUGGCGGCGUGCUUAACACAUGCAAGUCGAACGGGAUCCAUCAGGCUUUGCUUGGUGGUGAGAGUGGCGAACGGGUGAGUAAUGCGUGACCGACCUGCCCCAUACACCGGAAUAGCUCCUGGAAACGGGUGGUAAUGCCGGAUGCUCCAGUUGAUCGCAUGGUCUUCUGGGAAAGCUUUCGCGGUAUGGGAUGGGGUCGCGUCCUAUCAGCUUGACGGCGGGGUAACGGCCCACCGUGGCUUCGACGGGUAGCCGGCCUGAGAGGGCGACCGGCCACAUUGGGACUGAGAUACGGCCCAGACUCCUACGGGAGGCAGCAGUGGGGAAUAUUGCACAAUGGGCGCAAGCCUGAUGCAGCGACGCCGCGUGAGGGAUGGAGGCCUUCGGGUUGUAAACCUCUUUUAUCGGGGAGCAAGCGAGAGUGAGUUUACCCGUUGAAUAAGCACCGGCUAACUACGUGCCAGCAGCCGCGGUAAUACGUAGGGUGCAAGCGUUAUCCGGAAUUAUUGGGCGUAAAGGGCUCGUAGGCGGUUCGUCGCGUCCGGUGUGAAAGUCCAUCGCUUAACGGUGGAUCCGCGCCGGGUACGGGCGGGCUUGAGUGCGGUAGGGGAGACUGGAAUUCCCGGUGUAACGGUGGAAUGUGUAGAUAUCGGGAAGAACACCAAUGGCGAAGGCAGGUCUCUGGGCCGUUACUGACGCUGAGGAGCGAAAGCGUGGGGAGCGAACAGGAUUAGAUACCCCGGUAGUCCUGAGUUUGCCACUAGA
rnacentral:rRNA from 1 species